UAGACCGAUGAUCCUGUAGUCAUUUGGCCGGCUAUGGAAAGAAAAAGCUUGCAUCUGCUCCCCCUAAACUAUAACUGGUCCCAUCUCUCUCCAAACCUAACGUGGUAGUUUCCCAUUAUAGGGCUUUCUAUCUAUAGAUUGAGCCAUUACCCACCAAGGAUCCCAUUCGUUCAGAAUGAAGUUGACUGCUUGAAAAGAACACCAAUCUUUUGAGCAGUAAAGGUAAGGGAAGUCGAGUAAGGAAAUCCCUCUAUCUUGUAUCUCUCUUUUAGCCUAUCUCAUUAGAAAGAAGCCAAAGCGACGUACCUACCGAAUUCCACUACUUCUCCGGAGAUGCCUGUCAAUGUUCGGAUCAACUCCAUAAAAAAGUGGCUAAGAUAUUAAAUAAGGAGAUCAAGGAUAUCAAACAGGACUUCGACCCACUCCAGUUGAAUAAGAGUAGAGUAGGUAAGGCCAGGGCAACUACACUCGCCCAAUUGGCUGCCUUCGGGUUAACCUUCUG
rnacentral:lncRNA from 1 species